AAGACGGAGGGGGCAAGCGUUGUCCGGACUCACUGGGCGUAAAGCGCACGUAGGCGGUUGGGUGCGUCGCUGCUGAAAGCGCCAGGCUUAACUUGGCGAGGCGUGGCGAUACGACCCGACUCGAGGCAGGCAGAGGGUGGCGGAAUUCCGGGUGUAGUGGUGAAAUGCGUAGAGAUCCGGAGGAACGCCUGUGGCGCAAGCGGCCACCUGGGCCUGACCUGACGCUGAGGUGCGAAAGCGUGGGGAGCGAACCGG
rnacentral:rRNA from 1 species